GCUCGGGGUCGGAUCUCGCGGCCACCUCCCACCCUUGUCUCUAUACACCUGUUGCUUUGGCGGGCCCACCGGGGCCACCUGGUCGCCGGGGGACGCACGUCCCCGGGCCCGCGCCCGCCGAAGCGCUCUGUGAACCCUGAUGAAGAUGGGCUGUCUGAGUACUAUGAAAAUUGUCAAAACUUUCAACAAUGGAUCUCUUGGUUCCGGCAUCGAUGAAGAACGCAGCGAAAUGCGAUAAGUAAUGUGAAUUGCAGAAUUCCGUGAAUCAUCGAAUCUUUGAACGCACAUUGCGCCCCCUGGCAUUCCGGGGGGCAUGCCUGUCCGAGCGUCAUUUCUGCCCUCAAGCACGGCUUGUGUGUUGGGUGUGGUCCCCCCGGGGACCUGCCCGAAAGGCAGCGGCGACGUCCGUCUGGUCCUCGAGCGUAUGGGGCUCUGUCACUCGCUCGGGAAGGACCUGCGGGGGUUGGUCACCACCAUAUUUUACCACGGWUGACCUCGGAUCAGGUASGAGUUACCCGCUGAACUUAAGCAUAUCAAUAAGCGGARGAA
rnacentral:rRNA from 1 species